AAAUUUCGUUACAAUCACGUUGCUUCUACGUCUUCAUUACGCUUUUACAACGAUCCAGCUACGAUUAUACCAUGUUCUAACCACUCCCAUUCUGUAACCUCAUUACGAUUAUCACGAUUUUUCUACGCUGAUCACAUCCUCACUACGACCAUACCACGAUUUAUCCGUUUGCAACACGAACUUACCAUGAUUUUACUGCGAUUAUAGCACGCUCUUACCACGACCAUGUUACGAUUAUAACACGUUCAUUCCGCGAUCUGACAUUACGUCAAUAUCGUAUUCCAUAUAAAUACUGUAUCAUUCUUCCUAUUUUUCAUUGAUACGUAGAGUUUCUCACAGUCAUGCUACCAAAAUCUACGUAAGGGUAAGGAUAGAGGUAGAGGCAGAGGGAGAUCUGAUAGUAACGAAACUUGAUCCAGAAGAUAUAUGUCGGACCAUCCAAUAUAAC
rnacentral:lncRNA from 1 species